AGCACGGCGCCUGGCAUACGAUGGUCGCGACGGUCGUCCCGUGUCCACGGGGCGGGCUGGGGAGAGACCCCGAAGUCUGGGGCUCACGUCGCCGGGGGCGGCCCAUUUGCUGGGCGCAGUGAACGACCACAUGAGAGGUGGGAGAUGCGUGUCGGGGAGCAAAAGGAAAAGGAGAGAGAGGGCGAGGGAGGGCGGCAGAGACAACUGCCUCACGUUAGCCGGAUCAACUUCUCUUUAUCUCGGAGCAAGGGGGAAAUCAAGAGUUUCCCAGGAUGUCCUACGGGGCAGUGCCAACAACUCAGCAAAAAAGGGCUGUGAUGCGCUGGGGACAUUGAGCAAGGCUGGCCCCGCCCUCCUCUCGACUGGCACCUCCCCGUGCUGAAAACCCUGGGUGAGAAGAAAAGGGUCCCCUGUUGGGACAGCAGGACCAGGGCAUGAUGUGGCGCUGCAGCCUGCUCCUCUUCUGGGGGUGUUGUGGUCUAUGCAGCUGGAAAACGCACACAGUGUCCGCAGUGGAUCCAACGACAAGGGGACACCUGCCUGUACAGGUUACAC